CUUAGAAUACGAUUACGUGUGUCCACCGCCUUUCCUGACCGACUCCCCCCAUUGCCUAUAAAAAAUACCCACCUCUUAAUCCAGAUCCUCGUAGUUCUAACUUUUAGGUUUCUUUCGUUAUAGGUUUUGAGUUAUAUGAUAGCUCUUGGGGAAGAUCUUCGUUUGGGCUUUUCGGUGCGACUCCGAUCAUCUUCCGUGUGAAAUCCGGGUUAUUUUCUCCUAAUUAUUUUGUCCGUUAGCUGAAAGGGAAGGUGUAUUUUUUUUUUCGUUAUAGAUUUGUUUCUUGCGCACCCGUUCCAAAUCUAUGGAGAGGAGCGACGGUUUCAUAGCCGUUCUGAUUUAUAUUAUGCUUUUGGAUUGUGCUUUUAUUGAGGAUUGGUUUCGAGAUUCUUGAAUUUUUGAAAGGAUGUGGUCUUUUUUGCGUUAGGUUUUUUGUUGCAUCGCCGAUCAUCUUUGCUGCGAAAUCCUGGCCUUUUCUUCCGAUUACGUUGUCCUCUGAAAGGGAAGAAUUUACUUUCCCGUUAAAGUUGGGACUUUCCUUCAAUGGUUAUCGUUUGUCGAUGGUAUCGGUAAUAUUUUUUGCUUCUUGCUUAUCCGUCCUAAUGCUAUGGAGAAGAGCGACGGUUUCAUAGUCGUUCGGAUUUAUAUUAUGCUGUUGGGUUGUGUUUUUAUUGACGAUUGGUUUCGAAAUUCUUGAAUUCUUGAAAGGUGUUGAACUUCUUCGUCUUAUGUUUUUUGAUGCAUCGCCGACCAUCUCCGCUGCGCAAUCUGGGUUUUCUCUUCUAAUUUCAUUGGCCGUUUGCUGAAAGGGAAGAAUUUUCUUUACCAUUAAAGAUUCGGAUUUUUCUUCAACACUUACCAUUGUUGAUGGUUUUGUUAUGAUAUCGUUUAUCGAUGGAGAAUAUUGAUUUCAGAUCGUAACGAUAAAGGUUUCUGCGUUUCUUGUUUUCCUUCAAUAGUUACCGUGGGUGAUGGUUUUCUUAUGAUAUCGUUUGUCGACGAAGAAAAUUGAUUUCAGAAGAAUCUUGCAUUUUUGAAAGGAUGUGAUCUUCUUCGUGUUGGUUUUCUCUUGAUGCACCGUCAUCAUCUUCAUUGCCAAAUCUGGAUUUGUCUCCAAAUUAUGUUGUCCGUUGGCUGAAAUGGAAUUUUCUUUCAAUACUUUCCGUCGUUGGUGAUUGUUUUCUUGUCAUGUUGGUGUCGAUGAAGAAAAAUCGAUUCUGAUUGUAAAGGUUGAGUUUUUCCCUUUUUAUUCUUUGAAGACAGAGCGUUCUCUCGGAGAAAUUCAGGAUAUUUUCUUUUCUACGUUGUGUUUGUCGGCUAGGAUUUUUGUAAGGAGGGAUGAUAAUAUACUGAAUCUGUUUUAGUCUUUUUCCUGCUUCUAGAAUGUAGUAGGUAUUUCCUUUGUAUACUUUUUGUGAAUUUGGGCUGUGCCUAUUCUUAGUAAUAAAAUCUCUUAUUAAUUAUCAAAAAAA